rnacentral:ncRNA from 1 species
UAUUAGCAUCAAGAACGCUUAGCGUACCAACCGACUAUUUCGAAGCACGGUGGUUUAGAAUGUGGGUAGCUCUGCCAAAUUUUCGAGCAAUCUG